rnacentral:lncRNA from 1 species
UGUGUGUAAAGAUUCGAUGUGAUGGAAAAUUUGAUGUGCUCUUAUAGUGGUGCUAAGAUUUUCUCUUUCCACUCCAGGCACCGAUGCCCUAUGAGCAGGCUUCUGCCAAAACAAAAAAAAAUCGUACUGGCCGCUGCACGCGUGUCCCAUCGCGCGACCCGUCGCAUCAGCUCAGCCAUGCAAAUGCCAAAAAUUAGUGGCUGCCGGGACAGUACCCACGAAGCUUCCUUGCACACUCAACAGCACUAGCGACCAUGUGCUUCCUUUGACAACCGUGUCUCUGCUCACAAAAACACGUGCGCACUCUCAAAAAAAAGAAAACAAAAACAUGCGCGCGGGCCCCUCAUGCACCCAAGUGCGGAUAGGGUUGGGCCCC